rnacentral:rRNA from 1 species
GACGAACGCUGGCGGCGUGCCUAACACAUGCAAGUCAACUUGACUGAAGGAGCAAUCUGACAGUAGAGUGGCGCAAGGGUGCGUAACGCGUAAGUAACUUGCCCAAGGUAAGGAAUAACGUCGAGAAAUCGGCGCUAAUACCUCAUAAUGCAGCGGAUCCGCAUGGAUAUGUUGUUAAAGGUUUACCGCCUUGGGAUAGGCUUGCGUCUGAUUAGUUAGUUGGUGUGGUAACGGCACACCAAGGCUACGAUCAGUAACUGGUCUGAGAGGAUGAUCAGUCACGCUGGAACUGAGACACGGUCCAGACUCCUACGGGAGGCAGCAGUGAGGAAUAUUGGGCAAUGCUCGAAAGAGUGACCCAGCAACGCCGCGUGGAGGAUGAAGGUAUUCUAUAUCGUAAACUCCUGUGAGAGCAGACGAAAGACAGAUUAUAAUCUGGAUGACUGUAUGCUCAGAGGAAGCCCCGGCUAACUACGUG